AUUGAACGCUGGCGGCAGGCCUAACACAUGCAAGUCGAGCGGAUGAAGGGAGCUUGCUCCUGGAUUCAGCGGCGGACGGGUGAGUAAUGCCUAGGAAUCUGCCUGGUAGUGGGGGAUAACGUCCGGAAACGGGCGCUAAUACCGCAUACGUCCUGAGGGAGAAAGUGGGGGAUCUUCGGACCUCACGCUAUCAGAUGAGCCUAGGUCGGAUUAGCUAGUUGGUGGGGUAAAGGCCUACCAAGGCGACGAUCCGUAACUGGUCUGAGAGGAUGAUCAGUCAGAGGGGAGCGGGGACAGGGACCUGACGAUGAGGGGAGGGAGGAGUUGGGAAGAUUGGAAAAGGGGCGAAAGGAUACGCCAGCAGUGGGGGGUGUGUGAAGAGGGUCGUAGGAGUGGAAAGGAUGUUAUGUGAGGAGGAAGGGAAGUAUGUUAAGUCCGUGGUGUUUUGACGUUAAAAAAAGAAAAAGCAACGGCAAAGUUGGUGCGAGCAGCCGCUGAAAUAGAGCGGAAGCACGUCUGAAC
rnacentral:rRNA from 1 species